CGCCAGACUCCUACGGGAGGCAGCAGUGGGGAAUAUUGCACAAUGGGGGAAACCCUGAUGCAGCGACGCCGCGUGAGUGAAGAAGCAUUUCGGUGCGUAAAGCUCUGUCAGCGGGGAAGAAACAGCAUCUGAAAGGAUGCCGGACGGUACCCGACCAAGAAGCCCCGGCUAACUACGUGCCAGCAGCCGCGGUAAUACGUAGGGGGCAAGCGUUAUCCGGAUUUACUGGGUGUAAAGGGAGCGUAGACGGCGAGACAAGUCUGAAGUGAAAGGCCGGGGCCCAACCCCGGGACUGCUCUGGAAACUGCCUGGCUGGAGUACAGGAGAGGUAAGUGGAAUUCCUAGUGUAGCGGUGAAAUGCGUAGAUAUUAGGAGGAACACCAGUGGCGAAGGCGGCUUACUGGACUGCAACUGACGUUGAGGCCCGAAAGCGUGGGGAGCAAACAGGAUUAGAUACCCGGGUAGG
rnacentral:rRNA from 1 species